GGAGUAAGCUGUUCUACCGCCGCGGUCUUGUACCGGGGAGGAAAGUCCGGGCAGCGAAGAGUGCCGUACUUCCUAACGGGAAGGCAGCAGGCCAGAAAUGACCGGUUGACAGCAAGUGCCACAGAAACUUAAACCGCCUGGCAUGUUUUUUAUGUGACGGGUAAGGGUGAAAAGGUGGAGUAAGAGACCACCGCCUGACGGGCGACCGGCAGGGCACGGUAAACCUUACGGGCUGAAAGAUCAAAUAGGUGUUGAUACGUGAGGCUACUCGUCUCCGCUUUCUCUGGAAAGCAUCAGCACGGGUAGAUCGUUAGAGGUUUCGGGUGACCGGAAUCCUGGAUAAAUGGUAGAAGCUCUGAUUAGCGAAAGUUAAUAGGAGAACAGAACCCGGCUUACAGGCUUAUUCUUAUC
rnacentral:RNase_P_RNA from 1 species